UACGAAGGGGGCUAGCGUUGUUCGGAAUCACUGGGCGUAAAGGGCGCGUAGGCGGCCGAUCAAGUCGGGGGUGAAAGCCUGUGGCUCAACCACAGAAUUGCCUUCGAUACUGUUUGGCUUGAGACCGGAAGAGGUAAGUGGAACUGCGAGUGUAGAGGUGAAAUUCGUAGAUAUUCGCAAGAACACCAGUGGCGAAGGCGGCUUACUGGUCCGGUUCUGACGCUGAGACGCGAAAGCGUGGGGAGCGAACAGG
rnacentral:rRNA from 1 species